GUUUAAAUUAAAGAACACAUAUAACUAAUCAAAUGGCCGCCGUUUAGACAAGAUGUCCAAAGUAUUGAUGUACUGCCUUUAAAUUUUGUUUAAUGCAACUGCUCCAAUUUCUCAGCUUUCUUUUUGAGACCAUAUUCAUUUGGUUUGUGCAUAGAGACACAUUAUAAUAUGACGUUUAGCUAGAAAAUUAGUAAACCCAUAAAACUUGUUAAUUAUAUUU
rnacentral:misc_RNA from 1 species